rnacentral:rRNA from 1 species
GGGGAAUCUUGGACAAUGGGGGAAACCCUGAUCCAGCCAUGCCGCGUGAUCGAUGAAGGCCUUAGGGUUGUAAAGAUCUUUCAGCUGGGAAGAUAAUGACUGUACCAGCAGAAGAAGCCCCGGCUAACUCCGUGCCAGCAGCCGCGGUAAUACGGAGGGGGCUAGCGUUGUUCGGAAUUACUGGGCGUAAAGCGCACGUAGGCGGAUCAGUCAGUCAGGGGUGAAAUCCCGGGGCUCAACCCCGGAACUGCCUUUGAUACUGCUGGUCUUGAGGUCGAGAGAGGUGAGUGGAAUUCCGAGUGUAGAGGUGAAAUUCGUAGAUAUUCGGAGGAACACCAGUGGCGAAGGCGGCUCACUGGCUCGAUACUGACGCUGAGGUGCGAAAGCGUGGGGAGCAAAC